rnacentral:lncRNA from 1 species
AGGACCUGCUGAACCUGGGGCCCUAUAGGAGAGCACUGAUGGCCCACCCCUGAUUGUGGCCCUGGUCUUCAUGUCUGCAUCAGCCUCAGCCAUCUCAAGACCACAACAGGAACAUAGCCAAGUCAGAGAAGGAAGACCAAAAGCACCAGGGCCCUUCAUAUUAUUAAGCUGCUAAAUUAACUAAUCUUGGAAACUUCUAGACUCUACAAUUCUUGUUGUAUGAGGUUUAACAAGUUCAAGAGAGAAGAUAUUGGCCAAAUACAACACAGAGGCUAAACACAACACCUAUGUUGAUUGUUUGGUGCAUAAGAAUUGAGAUGAUGGAAAGAGGUCACUGUGAGCUUCAGGAAUAGCUUGAGGCUAACUGAUAAAACAGUGGAUUGACAAUUAUUCUCUGGACUUUUUGGUAACCAAGAACUUCUAGCAACUAACCCUGGCAUGACCACCAGAAUCUGCAGGGCUGAGAGAAGAAAGAAAGGCAAAAGUGGAUGAAUGCAGCUGAAGAUGCUGUGGAACUCCUAUCACAUUCCAAGUGCUGUGUUGAUAUCUGGAGAUAUAGACAAGAUCGAAGCAGAUGCAGUCUUUCACAUGAAUAUUUGAAUCAGGCAGUAUGUUCCCCAAAUUAGCAAAGUAUCUCCCAGAUUUUUUCUUUGAUGAUAUAUUUGAAAUCCUAAUGCUGAAAGUUAAAUUAUCAGGGUUUUAAAACUAGAAGCAGUCAUUAUCAGAAUUUUAUAUACUAUUUAUUUUUAAGAACGUAAUUUGACUGUUUAAGUCUUAUUAUAAUUUUAAGUGAAGUACUUUGGGCAGUCAUAAAUAAAGUAAUGGGCAGGUAUUUAGUAUUCAUAUUGUGUGGAUUCAUAUCCAUACUCUGCCACUCAGUAUCUCUGGGAUUUUGAUGAAUGAUCAAACUCUCUGAGCCUCAGUUUUCUAAUCUGUAAAGCAGAAAUGAUAAUGGUAUGUAGUGAUAAUUAAACAAUUUACUAGUUGUAAGUGCUUAGAACAGUUCCUGGAAUAGAGAAAAUUUGCAGAGAGAUUUUUAUUGUUUACAAUUUAGUUAAUGGAAUGGCUUCAAUAAUACAGUAAAAUUAAGAUAUUCAAACAAGCAGGAUGCAGGUGAUGGGUAUUGGCCUCAGCUUUAGAGACCAGAGGUUAAAUCUCAGUGCUGCCUGCCACAAAACGAUCCAUGUAAGUCAAUAAACAAUGCUUUUUAAAAUAUUAUUAUAAA